rnacentral:rRNA from 1 species
CCUACGGGUGGCUGCAGUGGGGAAUAUUGGACAAUGGGGGCAACCCUGAUCCAGCCAUGCCGCGUGUGUGAAGAAGGCCCUCGGGUUGUAAAGCACUUUCAGUGAGGAAGAACGCCUGGUGGUUAAUACCCAUCAGGAAAGACAUCACUCACAGAAGAAGCACCGGCUAACUCCGUGCCAGCAGCCGCGGUAAUACGGAGGGUGCGAGCGUUAAUCGGAAUUACUGGGCGUAAAGCGCGCGUAGGUGGCUUGAUAAGCCGGUUGUGAAAGCCCCGGGCUCAACCUGGGAACGGCAUCCGGAACUGUCAAGCUAGAGUGCAGGAGAGGAAGGUAGAAUUCCCGGUGUAGCGGUGAAAUGCGUAGAGAUCGGGAGGAAUACCAGUGGCGAAGGCGGCCUUCUGGACUGACUCUGACACUGAGGUGCGAAAGCGUGGGUAGCAAACGGGAUUAGAUACCCUGGUAGUC